rnacentral:rRNA from 1 species
UGUGAAAUUGUUGAAAGGGAAGCGCCCGCGGCUAGACUUGUGCCCGGUUGAUCAUCCAGCGUUCUCGCUGGUGCACUCUGCCGGCCCAGGCCAGCAUCGGUUUCUAGGUGAAGAAAAAAGCUCCAGGAAUGUAGCUCUUCGGAGUGUUAUAGCCUGUUGCAGAAUAUUCUCCAGGGGACCGAGGUACGCGCAUCGCAUGGAUGCUGGCGUAAUAGCCGUUAGCGACCCGUCUUGAAACACGGACCAAGGAGUC